GACGAACCGUGCGAACGUUGUUCGGAAUCACUGGGCUUAAAGGGCGCGUAGGCGGGUCAGCAAGUCCGGGGUGAAAUCUUUCGGCUCAACCGGAAAAGUGCCUCGGAUACUGCUGGUCUUGAGGGAGGUAGGGGUUUGUGGAACUUCUGGUGGAGCGGUGAAAUGCGUUGAUAUCAGAAGGAACGCCGGUGGCGAAAGCGACGAACUGGACCUCUUCUGACGCUGAGGCGCGAAAGCUAGGGUAGCAAACGGG
rnacentral:rRNA from 1 species